rnacentral:rRNA from 1 species
AUUGAACGCUGGCGGCGUGCUUAACACAUGCAAGUCGAUCGGUAACGCGGGAGCAACCCUGGCGACGAGAGGCGGACGGGUGAGGAACGCUCGGGAAUCUGCCUACCAGCGGGGGACAACCCGGGGACACUCGGGCUAAUACCGCAUACGCUCUACGGAGGAAAGCCGGGGACCGCAAGGCCUGGCACUGAUAGAUGAGCCCAAGUCGGAUUAGCUAGUUGGCGGGGUAACGGCCCACCAAGGCGACGAGCCGUAGCUGGUCUGAGAGGACGAUCAGCCACACUGGGACUGAGACACGGCCCAGACUCCUACGGGAGGCAGCAGUGGGGAAUAUUGGACAAUGGGGGAAACCCUGAUCCAGCGACGCCGCGUGGGUGAAGAAGGCCUGCGGGUUGUAAAGCCCUUUCGGUAGGGACGAAAGCUCUCGACCUAACACGUCGGGAGGUUGACUUAACCUACAAAAGAAGCACCGGCUAACUCUGUGCCAGCCGCCGCUGUAACAC